rnacentral:rRNA from 1 species
AUUGAACGCUGGCGGCAGGCCUAACACAUGCAAGUCGAACGGUAACAGGAAACAGCUUGCUGUUUCGCUGACGAGUGGCGGACGGGUGAGUAACGUCUGGGAAACUGCCUGAUGGAGGGGGAUAACUACUGGAAACGGUAGCUAAUACCGCAUAACGUCGCAAGACCAAAGAGGGGGACCUUCGGGCCUCUUGCCAUCGGAUGUGCCCAGAUGGGAUUAGCUAGUAGGUGGGGUAACGGCUCACCUAGGCGACGAUCCCUAGCUGGUCUGAGAGGAUGACCAGCCACACUGGAACUGAGACACGGUCCAGACUCCUACGGGAGGCAGCAGUGGGGAAUAUUGCACAAUGGGCGCAAGCCUGAUGCAGCCAUGCCGCGUGUAUGAAGAAGGCCUUCGGGUUGUAAAGUACUUUCAGCGGGGAGGAAGGGAGUAAAGUUAAUACCUUUACUCAUUGACGUUACCCGCAGAAGAAGCACCGGCUAACUCCGUG